GGGGGGGUGACUUAGUGGUUAGCAUGUUUGCCUCGCACCUCCAAGGCUGUGGGUUCUAAUCCUGCCUCUUCCA